rnacentral:ribozyme from 14 species
UUUUUUUUUUUUUUUUUUUUUUUCCUACGUUUGUUCAGGCGAUGCCCCCUCUAACUAUAUAUGAUAGGGAUGGAUGGUGGUUACAGAAGUGUAGCAACAGGUAUAACACUCCAUUUACCAUUGACUGUACAUGUGAAAAAUAGAAGAUGAGAGAGA